rnacentral:lncRNA from 1 species
CUAAAAGAGAUGAUGGCAAUGGCCAGUCCAAAGCUGGUACUGUCUAGGUUCCAGAAACAGCCCAAUGAAGAAAGUAGGUGUUCUCUGCCUACCAAAACGGAAGGUCCAGUCAGAGAUUUAUGCCCUGAGAUUUACUGAAUAAAUUAUGGCAGGCCUGGUGUGGUGGCUCACGCCUGUAAUCCCAGCACUUUGGGAGGUCAAGGUGGGCAGAUCACCUGAGGUCAGGAGUUCGAGACCAGCCUGCCAAGAUGGUGAAACCUCGUCUCUACUAAAAAUACAAAAAGUUGCUGGGCACGGUGGCAGGAGCCUGUAAUCCCAGCUACUUGGGAGGCUGAGGCAGGAGAAUCGCUUGAACCUGGGUGGCAAAGGCUGCAGUGAGCUGAGAUCGCGCCACUGCACUCCAGCCUGGGUGACAGAGUUAGACUCCGUCUCAAAAAGAAGGAAAAAAAGAAUAAGUUAUGAAAAACAAGGACUAUCCAGGGAUAAGAUAAAUAAGCUUAACUGGAAGCAAAAGGGAUUUGGGGUAGACACUGAAAUCAACUUACUGAUUCUCAGGCAUGGGAGACACUAAGCAAUAUCGUUAAGGAACUGCUAUGUCCUCCUGAGUGGAAUUUUUCAGAAAGGGCAGGUGCUGUAUGAAUUGAGGAGAGAGGAGAGCAGUCAUCACUAGAUGACUGUUCAAGAACAUCUCCUGCAAGUUUAAGUGCUUCAGAAUGCAAAUACAUCUUCAAACAAACAAACAAUCCCACAUUGUAGGCAGGCUAGUCAAGGGCCUUGUAAGUCUGUAUAGAUGCUGAUGGGCCAAGCCAGCUCAGCCAUCUGCUGGGGGGAGGCAGGAUCACACAGGAGAGAGUUCUCACUUGCUGUUAUUUCCUAAAAGGUGAAAUGAUUCACCAAUUAUUCUGCAAAUGCCAGAACCCACAAAGAAGGCUAUCAACAUGCCAAAAGUUAAAUUACUUAACUUUAAUUACGACAAAGCAAAAUUCAAGGAAAAAUUACAGUUGAAUUAUACCACGUAGAUACAAAUUAGGAUGGAAUUUAAAAGUGAAAUAAAUAAUAAUUUACCCUCGCUCUAUAUCUGCAAACACCUAACUGAUUCCCACAUGCAGAGGGACUUCACUAGUCAAGAAAACAAAGGAAAAAGUGAUAAGUGAAGUAGAAGCAAAAAGAAAAAAAAAGCUCUUAACUAUCUAAUAGUUUUUGGAAUACUUGCACACAGGGGUACUUUCCAGUGGUAUAGGAGGUAGUCCCCAAUUUUCAUUAUGCCAUAAAUGUAAUUCCAUCUAGUAGAGACUUAUGUUUCACUUUUUUUUUCCAUUUCAUUUGACAGUUUGCUGAUAUCCAUUUGAGCAGCCAGUACACAGUGCUUGGGCAACCAAGAUUUUAUCUUUCUUCCAUUUUAAGAUAAAAACUUCAGAAACACAUAUACCUAAGAGUGGAGAGUAAUGAUAGCUCUCUAAAGGGAACGAACUUCCAGAUAGAAUCUCUCAAUGCAUUUAGUAAUCAUCAGUCUGACAAAAAGUGACUGGAAACCUUUUUAUGAGCAGUACUUUGCCUCCCAGGUAUGGGAAACAUGGUGAUUCCCUCAUCCCACUUUAUAGAUGAGGUCACUGAGGGAUAAAGCUGUUAUAAGAUAGUGCAAGCUUGCACACAUGGAGUUUAAACCAGUUAAUAAAACAGUACUUAAAAGCAAUCCAUCCGUGCAUGAUUGCUGUACGUCCAAUCCUGCCCAAGGCACCAAAUUCCCAUGUCUUUGUUGGUAAAGGAAAGCCAACCUUGGAUUAAACACUCAGGUGACAUGGACAUACCUAGAUGCAGCAGCAAACGCAACAGCCCGGGCAGCAGUGGCUUCUUCUAACUUCUUCCUCUUUUUCUCUUCCAUUAACUGUUUCUCUACAAAACUUCGGGCUUCCUGCUCAGCUUUUAGCUUUUUCUCCAACUGGCUGAUAUUCUGCUUGUCUUUUUGCUUCAUUUGCACAGCAUUAUGUAACCUAUAUGGAAAUGAUUGUCAUAUAAAGUCUUAAAAUUACAAAUGCCCACUAUAAACCCUUGAGAAACAUCUCUUUAUCACCUUAAGGCCAAUUAAACAGGAGGUUUGAACAGCAAAUCAAAAAUGUCAAUGCCCAGAAUGCCUGAGGAAAACACACUGUUAUUCUUUAAUAAUUCCUAAACACCAAUAAACAAGCUGCCUUACAAAACAGAGAUUAAGACCUAGCCUCUGCUCUGUUCAAGUAAGUGAUCUACAAAAGGUCAUCCAGAAAACAGGGUAAAACAAAUUUUGAACAGAGGGGAAGAUAAUUGUAGAACUAAUUCUAAUGUUCCAGAGCACCCUGAAAGAACUUCAGUCCCACCAAAGAACCACUGAUGGGACCAGCCCCAGUGAAACUAAGGUAAGGGGUGGAAAGGGGAAGGUUUUUAUUUUUCCUGAAUACAAUUUUGCUGUAGCCUACUACAGCUUUUCCUUUCCAGCUCAGGAUGUUUGCUCACAGUGUCCCCAAAUCCUCUUUUAGAGUCACAGGAUGCUUAAUUUCAGAUAGAAAUUUCAGCCAUAUUUCCUGCUUACUACCACCCCCAGCUUUACCUAUCAGCAUGAGGUGAGUUUAUCACUGGGAUGUUCUCUACAUAUCAAUGCUAGAACCACCACAAAUGCUGGUCAGAGGCAAUGGAGAGGUUAUUUGCCUGUAAUGCCCUAGCUUUUGAGUUACAUUCCUUAAAAAUGUUGAACUCCUCUUUCAACAGGGAAAGCCCAGAAAGCCAACAGCCUGUAAUGAUCAUCACUACCACGGGCACACAUUGCUGGGAGAUUUAAAAAAAGAAAAAAGGACAGACCUACACUGAGUUAAGAAGUAAUUCCAGAAUGAACUAAUCAAAAGCCUAAAUGAAUUCACACAGAAGACCUGGCUUUCUGCCUGCCUUUUCAAAUAAAAUCAAAGUUCAAUGUCAUCUUUUAGUUCUGGAAAUAAAAGUAAAUAUAGUCAAAUCCUCUAGAAAUUUUCACUCAAAGGAGCAAAAUUUUCAAAAUGUGACAGAACUACUUCUUGUCAAUUUUACUAUCCAAAAACUCAAUAACUAUUUUAAACUAAGAAGUUAUUAAAUGAGAGAAGACAAAAACAGUAAUAUUAAUAAACUGUUUUGUGGCAAUGAAAUAAGUUUUUAUAGAUUUUAUAAACAUGUUGAAUAUCUGGUACUAAAUAAAGUAUUUUAAACAUUUUAUUUAAAAACCUCUCAGCAGGUCUCUGUCACCAUAAAUCUUGUGCUCCAACCCCUGGCAACAGGAGAAGCAGUGAAGCUGCCGGGCUUACGGCCAAAGGCCUGAAAGGUGCACGUACUUGUUCUGCAGCAGCUCGUUCUCCUGCCGAAGCUGGCCCAUUUCUGAGCGGAUCCCUCGCUCGGUGCUCGAAAGGGAGCUGAUCUGACUGCGGAGCUCUUGUUCCACUUGUCUGCUGGCUUGCAGAAUCUACUGUCUGAGACUGCGUCCCACCAUGGGCCUAGAAGAAAACGGUCUGCGACGACCUCCAGAAAUUGCAGCAUCCUUGCUGAAUGACGUUCACAACUCUGGUGAUUGCGGCAGAAGAGCUCACGAGACUCAAUAACAAUGAAAAAAGGAACAAAUUACAUGCUCUAAGAAUCAUAAGAGAACUCCAUCUGUAAAAUGAAGCCUAUCUUUUCUCGUCAAUUCCUUACUCUUGUUCCAUCUAUUUUCUUUACUGCAGUAAUAGUUUCACUUUAAGUGACAGGUAUUGGAGACCUACUAUGCAUAUGUAGUGCUGAAAAUGGUCAACAAAAACUAUCGGCCAGGCGCAGUGGCUCAUGCCUGUAAUCCCAGCACUUUGGGAGCCCGAGGCAGGCGGAUCACCUGAGGUCAGGAGUUCAAGACCGGCCUGGCCAACGUGGUGAAACCCCAUCUCUACUAAAAGUACAAAAAUUAGCUGGGCAUGGUGGCGCGUGCCUGUAAUCCCAGCUACUCAGGAGGCUGAGGCAGGAGAAUCACUUGAACCCAGGAGGUGGAGGUUGCAGUGAGCUGAGAUCAUGCCACUGCACUCCAGCCUGGGUGACAAGAGUGAGACUCUGUCUCAAAAAACAAAAAACAAACAAACGAAAACUAUAAAAUCAAGUCUCUUUCUUCAUGGGAAAACUUCACAAUUAGGAACAAAGAAAUAGGAACCAAGAAAUACAUAAUUUAAAUGAUUAAACAAUAAGACAAGGAAGGCCAUGAUUAAAUAUAUGCCAGAAGGAAUAAUAACAACAGCUACUAUUUAAUGAGAACUUAUGGGCCAGGCACUGUUCUAUAGGGUUUAAUCCUAUAAUCUGUACAACUAUGGGCCAAAUGCAAUUCCUAUUCCCAUUUUUACAGAUGAAGAACUCUAGGCUAGGAAAGGAUGCAGCCCAAGGUCAUCCAGGCAGUCUAGCUCCAGAGUCCAUUCUCUUCACCAUUAGGCCAAACUAUAGCCAUGUCAUCCACAGCAUGGUAGAGGAAGAAGUGCUAUGUGAGUCUGAGGAGAGAAGACUGGGAAAGGCUUUGCAGAGCAGGUAGAGAUUGACUUGGGCCCUGAUGUUUGGAUAGGAUUUGGAGAAGUAGAAGAGGAGGGGACAUUCUAAAUGAGGGGAGAAAUGUAUUAAAAAACUCAAAGGCAGGAACAGCCAUAGACAUGUGCGGGCAAGCCAUUAGUCUGGCUUCUGAGAAAAGCUUGUACUGGGGAGAGAGUAGGAAAGGAUAGAACAGAUCUGGUAGAUAGGACUGUGGAGAGUGGUGCUGAAGGUCAGGUCAAGGAUGGCUGCCAUGUGAGCUGCAGUUGAGAAUGAAAGAAAAAUUAGAUCUACAGAGGCUGGAUCUCAAUAAUUUUGUAGUUAUUACUUUCAUUUUUUAAAUCUCUUCCUACCACAAACUAGGAAUAACAAUAUUUAUUUAGAAGAGGCUUUUUCCAUCAGGAUACAAACUCACAAGUAGGUAAAGUCAGUUUGCUCUGAUGAGAUUCUUGUUCAUGUCACUAAUUCAACAUACCAACAGAACCAAGAUUUCUGAAGGGCAAUGGUGAUCUCUUUGGAACUGUCAGCUCCAAAGACUAAGUCUUAGAGACAUGUUUUAUUAAGCACUAAAUCCCCAGAGCCCUCCACAGUGAUCAACGCUUACUCAAUAAAUGUUGCCUGACAUAGGGCAGCUUUAUUUACAUAUCUACCUUUAGGCAACUUUAAAAAACCCCCAAAACCCCAAAUCAUAAAACACUGACAGUCACCCUGCAGGUGCAAGUAGCCAGUCCUCCUGUCCAGUGCCUGGGAGCAUGGCCUAGAAACCUUUUGUUCCAAAAGCACCGCUGGGUGUCCUGACAGCUUGCUCCCCAGGGAAGGGUCACAAGUCGACAUCACACCACACUUUCCCUAUUGCCAGAGUUAUUCCAGUUGAAUGUACUCUCAGAACUGCUCUAAACAAUUACAGAUCGGCAUUUAUACCAUCACCAUACUGUCUCUCAUUCACUCCUAAGUAGCCCAAAGAAUAUAUUCCGAAAGAGGUCAAUGCUGUCAGGCUAUCCUCUUUGAGAAAUUUGGCUGAAAAUGUGUUAGGUAAUUUGUCUUUCUUCAGAAGCUGAUUUCACAGUCUGAGGAUUGCAUUUUCAGUAGAAAGGGUGAGUUUUUAGGUGAAAAUAGGGGCUAAGCCUGGUUUAGUAACAGAGUUUAGGAUCAGGGUUCUACAUUCAGCUCUGGCGCCAACUCUCUGACCCUGCACAAGGUGUGUAAUCUUCCAGGCCUCAGUUUCCUCAUCUACGGCUGAUAACUCUAAAGUUCCUCCCAGUUUGGGCUAGGAUUUCUAGGCCUGACACACUUACAGAUGGCUGCUGAUUUGCCUCUUUAGAUUAGCAAACUAAGCUGCAUCAUAUGCAGAUGCACAGGAAUCAAGUUCCACACAACCAGUCGCUGGGGAAAAACAUAUGCCACAGUUGGGAAUGAAAGAAAAAUUAAAUCUGUAGAGGCUAGAUUGUGAGAAUUUUGUAGUUGUUACUUUCUUUCAUUUUUUAAUCUUUUCCCACCACAAACUAAAAAUAACAAUAUUUAUUCUGAGCGAAAUUUUAGAGUUCCUUGAAAAAUGUAAAAAUCCAAUGAGCUAAUGCAGUUAUGAGACCAAAAAGCAUAAAAUAUCUAGAUUAUAACUUCUGAAGACCAAAGAACAUGAAAUAUAUAUAUAUAUAUAUAUAUAUAUAUAUAUAUAUAUAUAUAUAUUUUUUUUUUUUUUUUUAACCAAGUCUCACUCUGUUGCCCAGGCUGAUCUCAGCUCACUGCAAUCUCCCCCUCCUGGGUUCAAGCAAUUCUCCUGCCUCAGCCUCCCGAGUAGCCGGGAUUACAGGUGCCCACCACCACGCCCAGCUAAUUUUUAUAUUUUUAGUAGAGACGAGGUUUCGCCAUGUUGGCCAGGCUGGUCUCGAACUCCUGACUUCCUUCAGGUGAUCCACCCACCUUGGCCUCCUAAAGUGCUGGUAUUACAGGUGUGAGCCACCGUGCCCAGCCAACAAUAUAUUUUUUAAUGUGAAGCUUAUAUAAAAAUUUUAUCAAAGACUAACAGUGGCACAAUACAACAAAAAUAAAAUGAAGUGGUUACAGGAAUGUGUUCACUUUGUGAAAAUUCAUAAAUGGAACACUUGAUUUGUGCACUGGUGUGUAUAUAUGUUAUACUUCAAUAAGAAAAGGUUUAUUUAAAAAAUAAAAUAAUCUCAUAAGACACAGAACUAAAAUACUUCAGGAUUUUCAUAACUGCUACCAUGAAUUUUGUAAAACUGAAUUAUUUUCCAAAUUGUGAAUUAUUUUCCAAACUGCUGCAGCAAGCCUGAGAGUUAACACCAGCAUUCCCAGUUUAAGAAACACUGCUCUACAAGAACACUGCCCAAUGGCUAAUGGCAUGCAGGAUAACAUAAAACAGUAAAUGGCAAAAUUCUCAGCAAUUUUAAAAAAUUUAUGAUGGACAAUUUUUCAUUAGCUGUCUACAGAAAGCAUUAAUUUGCCUUGAAUGUCCAUUAUAUAUUUUAAAUCUUUACUAAGGUAGGCAGCAAAAUGAUUUACCACCUGCAUUGAGUUUAUUUUUGAUACCCAGUCACAGUAUCAAAAACUGAAUAAACAAUGGAAAAGUAUAAAUAAAAAUAUAAAUAACUCAUAAUCCUCUUAUCCAGACGAACUGCUCACUAUUUGGUGUACCUCUUUUCUGUAUGUUUUUUUCUAUUUCUUCGUACAUGUAAAUAUAUUUAAUAUUGGUGAGAGAGUACCACAUAUACAGCUUAUAAAUCACAAGUACCUUCUCACACUAUUAGACAUUUUCCAUAAAUAAUUAAUUGCUGACUAAUAUUCCAUUGUAUGGACGUACUAUACAAUCCUAUUUUCUAAGAUAUAUCUCAAUUUUUGCAUUUGCCCAAUAGAAAAAUGUAUGUCAUGAGUUUUGAAAGAAUUAUGUGUGGCCAGGUGCAGUGGCUCAGGCCUGUAAUCCCAGCACUUUGGGAAGCUGAGGCGGGCAGAUCAUCUGAGGUCAAGAGUUCGAGACCAACCCUGCCAACAUGGUGAAACCUUGUCUCUACUAAAAAUACAAAAAAAGCAGCUGGGCUUGUGCCUGUAGUUCCAGCUACCAGGGGAGGCUGAGGCAGGAGAAUCGCUUGAAGUCAGGAGGCAGAGGUUGCAGUGAGCCAAGAUCACACCACUGCACUCCAGUCUGGGCGACAGAGAGAGACUCCAUUUCAAAAAAAAAAGAAGUAUGUGUUAGCAAAUUGAACUGAAUCAAGAUAGUUGAGUGCUAGAAGCAUUUAUUAAACAGAUAACUACUAUUUGUCUUAAUGGCAUACUUAACCCUUUGGUGCUGAAGUUCAAUACUUUAUAGGUAAAAUACAGAUAUAUAAUUUAUUAGUGUGAAGUACAAAGAAGUUUUUAUUAAGUGGUGUUAAAAGGUUAAUGCAAAAUCGCCAAAUGUAUUAAUAUGAUUUUAUUAAAAUGUCAUUAGCUGAAACCUAAAUUAAAAGCAAUGAUCAGGAAGAAAACGAGGCAGAAGUAAUAGAUUAUAAGCCUUGAAACUAAUCUCAGCAGACAGGGAUAGAGAGAAUGGAGGAAAACAUCAAACCCCUUUUAUCUGAGUUAAGGGCCACACUCUUCCCUAGACUAUAGAAUUUUAAGGGAUAAAAGAGUAGUUUUCUCCAGAAGAGCUACAAUCUCAUUUAAAAAAAAAAUAAUGGGCCAGAUACAUCUGGACCAAGCUUUAAUAAGGCUUAGUCAGGAAAUAAAUGCACUUCCUUCUUGCCUAAUUCUUGUGGAACCAGUUUUCACCCUUACAAAGGCCUGCCCUGUGGCAUCACCACUUUGGACACAGACAGGGCCCAUGGCAAAGCUGGAGUU